GAUGAACGCUGGCGGCGUGCCUAAUACAUGCAAGUAGAACGCUGAAGGAGGAGCUUGCUCUUCUGGAUGAGUUGCGAACGGGUGAGUAACACGUAGGUAACCUGCCUGGUAGCGGGGGAUAACUAUUGGAAACGAUAGCUAAUACCGCAUGACAACAGUUAUUGCAUGAUAACUGUUUAAAAGGGGCAACUGCUCCACUACCAGAUGGACCUGCGUUGUAUUAGCUAGUUGGUGAGGUAACGGCUCACCAAGGCGACGAUACAUAGCCGACCUGAGAGGGUGAUCGGCCACACUGGACUGAGACACGGCCCAGACUCCUACGGGAGGCAGCAGUAGGGAAUCUUCGGCAAUGGACGGAAGUCUGACCGAGCAACGCCGCGUGAGUGAAGAAGGUUUUCGGAUCGUAAAGCUCUGUUGUAAGAGAAGAACGAGUGUGAGAGUGGAAAGUUCACACUGUGACGGUAUCUUACCAGAAAGGGACGGCUAACUACGUG
rnacentral:rRNA from 1 species